UAAGUGUUAGAGGGCUUCCACCCUUUAGUGCUGCAGCUAACGCAUUAAGCACUCCGCCUGGGGAGUACGGCCGCAAGGCUGAAACUCAAAGGAAUUGACGGGGGCCCGCACAAGCGGUGGAGCAUGUGGUUUAAUUCGAAGCAACGCGAAGAACCUUACCAGGUCUUGACAUCCUUCGCUACCUCUAGAGAUAGAGGGUUCCCCUUCGGGGGACGGAGUGACAGGUGGUGCAUGGUUGUCGUCAGCUCGUGUCGUGAGAUGUUGGGUUAAGUCCCGCAACGAGCGCAACCCUUGACCUUAGUUGCCAGCAUUCAGUUGGGCACUCUAAGGUGACUGCCGGUGACAAACCGGAGGAAGGUGGGGAUGACGUCAAAUCAUCAUGCCCCUUAUGACCUGGGCUACACACGUGCUACAAUGGAUGGUACAAAGGGUCGCGAAACCGCGAGGUGGAGCCAAUCCCAAAAAACCAUUCUCAGUUCGGAUUGCAGGCUGCAACUCGCCUGCAUGAAGCCGGAAUCGCUAGUAAUCG
rnacentral:rRNA from 1 species